CUACGGGCGGCUGCAGUGGGGAAUAUUGGACAAUGGGGGAAACCCUGAUCCAGCAAUGCCGCGUGUGUGAAGAAGGCCUGCGGGUUGUAAAGCACUUUCGGUUGGGAGGACUGCUUCUAGCACUAAUAUUGUUGGAAGUUGACGUUACCUUCAGAAGAAGCACCGGCUAACUCCGUGCCAGCAGCCGCGAGUAAUACGGAGGGUGCAAGCGUUAAUCGGAAUUACUGGGCGUAAAGCGCGCGUAGGCGGCUAGAUCAGUCGGGUGUGAAAGCCCCGGGCUUAACCGGGGAACUGCAUCCGAUACUGGCUAGCUUGAGUACAGGAGAGGAGAGUGGAAUUCCACAUGUAGCGGUGAAAUGCGUAGAUAUGUGGAGGAACACCAAUGGCGAAGGCAGCUCUCUGGCCUGAUACUGACGCUGAGGUGCGAAAGCGUGGGAAGCAAACAGGAUUAGAUACCCCGGUAGUC
rnacentral:rRNA from 1 species